CUCCCCGAGGCGGAAGCUGGGGGCGCCCCACUGGGGCCCAAGCCUCCGCCGGGGCGGGAUUCCAAGCCAGGGGCGGGGCGCCGCCGGUGACCCGGGCCCCGCCUCUCGCCCGCCUCAUGAAUAUGAACAAGCCGGCUGGUGAGCGGAAGUGCGAGGCGGCCCCAGGCUGGCUGGCUCUGCCGCUGAGAGGGGGGCGCGAGUCCGGGGGGCGUGGCCUGGCUCGGACGCCCCGCCCCUACCCCCACGCGGGGCCUCCUUCCGGCCGGCGCGCCCCGGACGUGACCUCGCGGGCGCGCGCCGGGAGCCGCCAGACUGGGCGCCGACAGCAUCCUCCGGGGGUAGGCGCCCACAGUCAUUCUUUCCAUCGCUGCGGACACGGGAGUCAGAAGUGAAACAGUCCUGUCCUCGUGGGGCUUACGUUCCAGGCGCAAGAGCCACAGGUAGUCGAAUUGGGAAACCGCCUCGGAUGUCACAUAAGCGCCCAGGGAGGACAGGGCAGGACAGGGCCUCCCUGGGGAGGUGACUUGAGUCAAGACUCAAAAGAGGGAAGCGAGGGAACAAGCCAUGCGAGGAACUAACGAAGGAACAUUCCAGAAAGAUUUCACAUCCCAAGCCUAAGGUCCAGGGGCAGCAGGCAUUGAGGCGGAUGUGGCUGGAGUGGAGAGAAAGAGGAAUUAAAAGGAUGGAGUAAUGACAAUAAUGGCUCACAUUUUUUAGCAAGAGGUGGGUUCACUACCUAUCUGUCGUUAUCUGGGGGGAAAUUAGGCUCUGGGAGGUCAAAUAACUUGCCCAAGGUCACACAGCUUGUAAGUGGCCAGACCAGCAUUGGAACCCAAGGGGACGGAUGUCUGAAACACACCCAGGAGUCCCAAGGUGGGAUGACCUUGACCAAGACAGGCCCUUUACCCCUUGCCUCAGUUUCAUCCCAAAGAGCUGCCCAAACACAGCUUAAAAUCAGGGCACAGAGCAAGGGUGUAGCUGAGUGUGCGUAACAUCUGUUCUCCUGGGAGAUGCUUUUGUUGUCUGGGAAGCACUUGUCACCUCUCCAGGCUCUGGAGCAGGUACAAGUGGCUUCGGGGAGAAAGGGUGGGAGCCGGGAAGAGGCUGCUUCUGGUGGCAGGAGGAGAGAGGGAGUGGGUGAGGGGCCCCGGGCUGGCUGAGUGCUCUGGAGCAUGACAAAGGCAGUGUCAGCCAGGCAGCUGUGUCCGCCACUAGCAACCGCGCAGGCAGCAUCCCCCGCCAUCCCUCUGAGCCUGGAGAGAUUGAAACACACACAGUCAGCGUGCCUGCUGCCCAGGUGAGGUGCAGAAGGCCUGGGGGUUGCCAGUCUGGGCUCUGCCGCGAGAAAGUGGCUUUUCUGCAGCCGGAAGCGGGGAGGAAGUGUUUUCACCCUUCUACAAAGCUCUGUCUCUGCCUCUGGAUCCACGGUGCUGCAGGCCUGAGGGCUCUCAUGGGUACGGGCCUGGUGAGUAAUCUAGAAUUUGCCCCUUCCCCAGCCUGGUGCAGCCUCUAGUCUCGGCCUUCACGCUCUGCUGUAAAAUGAGGCUGGGUCAGGAGUGGGACCCAUCCUCCGUGUUUGAGGAGCUGGGCUAUUACAUGAGCCCCUACCUGAGGUCGCCAGCGAGUCAGAGGUCCUGGUGGGACCAGACCAAAAUGGAACCUACUAUCGGGCCCAUUUUGAGAGGGAGACAGAGAGAAGUUAAAAGUACAUGCACACACAGCUCUAAAGUAGCAGAGAUGGCAUUCAAGUCCAAAGCCUUUGACUCCAGGACGGGCACAGUGGCUCACACUUGUAAUUUCAGCACUUUGGGAGGCCGAGGUGGGAGGAUCUCCUAAGCCCAGGAGUUCAAGACCAGCAUGGGCAACAUGGUAAGACCCUAUCUCUAUUAGCGGGGCGUGAUGGCACAUGGCUGUAGUCCCAGCUACUCUGGAGGCUGAAGCAAGAGAAUCGCUUGAACUUGGAAGGCAGAUGUUGCAGUGAGCUGACAGAGCAAGAUUCCAUCUCAAAACGAACAAUCAAACACUAGUCUUGCCCGGCGAGGUGGCUCAGGCCUGUAAUGACCAGCCUGGCCAACAUGGUGAAACCCCUUCUCUACUAAAAAUACAAAAAUUUGCUGGGCAUGAUGGCAGGCGCCUGUAAUUCCAGCUACUUGGGAGGCUGAGGCAGGAGAAUCCCUUGAACCUGGUAGGUAGAAGUUGCAGUGAGCCGAGACCGUGCUAUUGCACUCCAGCCUGGGCAACAAGAGUGAAACUCCGUCCCCAAAAAGAAAAAAACACUAGCCUCAAGCCACAGCCAUGUCUCCAACCUUCCCGGCCAGGUUUCUCAAAAGAGGGGGCUACCUGAGGUCACCCACUCCUGCCGAACUCCAGGUGGGCUUCCUCAUCCCUUGCUCUAUCCUAAACUGUUCCUUAAGUGACAGUUCACACCCUGACGUCUUCCAAGCUGAGACCCCACCAGCAGCUAGCUUUUCCUUUGUGGUUCCACCCACCUCCUAAAUCCCUUUAGCAGCCGGGUGCGGUGGCUCGCGCCUGUAAUCCCAGCACUUUGGGAGGCCGAGGCGGGUGGAUCACGAGGUCAGGAGAUCGAGACCACGGUGAAACCCUGUCUCUACUAAAAAUACAAAAAAAUUAGCUGAACGUGGUGGCGGGCGCCUGUAGCCCCAGCUACUCGGGAGGCUGAGGCAGGAGAAUGGCAUGAACCCGGGAGGCAGAACUUGCAGUGAGCUGAGAUCGCACCACUGCACUCCAGCCUUGGCGACAGAGUGAGACUCCAGCUAAAAAAAAAAUCCCUCUAGGGUCCUGCGCCUCUGCCUGUAGCCCCUAAAACCGAAUACUCCUGAAAGUUUUAUCCUGGGAACCCCUUUCCUUGACACUUUAACUCCGUGGAAGAGGCAAAAGUGAGGGGAACCCCCAUCUCUACUUAAGAGUUCCCCACAUAUUUUUUAUUAUUAUUUUUUUCGUGACGGAAUUUCACUCUUUGUUUGCCCAGUCUGGAAUGCAAUGGCACAAUCUCAGCUCACUGCAACCUCUGCCUCCCGGGUUCAAGUGAUUCUUCCACCCUAGCCUCCCGAGAAGCUGGGAUCACAAGCGCCCACCACCACACCAAACUAAUUUUGUAUUUUUAGUUGAGACGAUUUCACCACGUUGCCCAGGCUGGUCUCGAACUCCUCAGAUGAUCGGCCCUCUGCCUCCCAAAGUGCUGGGAUUACAGGUGUGAGCUCCUGCGCCCGGCUCAGAGUUCCCCAUAUUUAUACUUGCCCUCCAGGGCACACUGGCCUCCAUUUUUAGGGACUUGCUUGGUAUCUGCCCUUGGGUAACCCACUGGAGCUUUCCAGUUGGACUCCUUGAUUGGAGGGGAAUCUGGCUACACCUGUCGCCCCAGGAUGGACCAGCAGGGCCCGUCUUGAGGCUGCACUCGAGGAUAGAGGAAAAAGUGUCAUCUUUAAGAGUCCCACCGAGUAGCCAGGUUUCCCUGCCGGAAAUUCCUGCCUUGUUUUCCUUUCCCUGGUAAAACUAGGAGAGCCACCUCAUUUUCCUGAGCCCUGAGCCCUGAGCGCCCGCCCCCACCCCCGUUGGUUCUAGCUACACAGGCUUUCGGCCUCAGGGUUGCUUUGCACCAUCCCCUUCCCCCGACCCAGGCAAGUUCGCUUCUGCUUCUCUCUUGCCCAGCCCUCAUUAGCAGGCUCUGACACUUCUCAGCCGCCUGUCCGCUUUGCAGAGAACUGACAUGUGAGCUGUGCCCAGGGACAUCUGCUGAAUGGGCGGGUCCCCUGCCGGACCAGUCCAUCUGUCCCUCACUCAGUGUUCCUUCUGAGCUGAAGCUGCCCAGCAUCCCCCAUCUGUGUGAGUAUUCACACAGCGCUGGCCAAAGCCCUGUCGGGAAUCACGUGAUUCAGAUCCUGGUUUUGCCCCUGUCAGCCUUAGGACAAGACAGAUUUCUUUUUCUUUGUUUCUCCUGAGAUAGGGUCUCACUCUGUCGCCCAGGCUGGAGUGCAGUGGUGUGAUCUCAGCUCAUUGCAGCCUCAGCCUUUGGGGUUAUAGCAAGCCUCCCACCUCAGCUUCCCAAGUAGCUAGGAUUAUAGGUGCACACCACCAUGCUCAGCUAUUUUUUU
rnacentral:lncRNA from 1 species